ensembl:lncRNA
GUUGUGUUUGAUAUAUGUUACAAAACGGUAUAGAACCAUACUGCACACCUUGCUUCUCCAGACUGCUCUCUUCCCUGGCAGAGAUGGAGAGUGCUCGGACCAGCUCAUAUAACUAACUCACCCCGUCUUUAGUCUACAGAUUAAUUAGCGGUUACUUGUGUCAACAGCAACAACGGUUGUACUGCACGUGUGGAGCUAAUACCCACGAAUCUUCCCCAGGACGUGAUCUGCUACUCGUUCUAUGGCUUUCAGGUUCCUAGACUUAGCAGCAGAAGAGAAGGCUGGGGAGCUUAUCAGCUUGUGGGACUCUAAGAUGGAAAGAAUUCGACCUAAUUUACAGCAUAGCCAAACAACAUCUAUUAACAAGAGGAAAAAUAAUUCAGAAAUGGGACCACAGCUUGGAAGGCUUUCAGAGUCUGGCCACUGCUCACCACUUCAGGCACAUCUCAUGCCCCAGCCCCUUCCUCAACUCUCAGCUCCUUCUACACUGAAUUUCUGGCAGUCCCACAAUCCUGCCAGCUCCUGCUCCCCUGCCAGGGGUCACGUGUGCUGUUCCUUCUGCCCGAAGACAGAACACAGUCCCUGCCUUCAGGACCACACAACCCAGUCAAGGAAAGAGACAAAUAAACAGGUAAAGAUACCAGCAGAAGACAGCAGUCUGCAGCCUGGAAGAGGGCACUCAUCAGAACCCGAUCAUGCUGGUAUACUGAUCUCAGACUUCCAGCCUCCAGAACUGUGAGAAAUAAAUGUCUGUGAUUUAUAAAAUUUUUUUUAGAAAAGAGAGAUGUCCACAUGAGGCCGUUUCAGUGGGGUUCCAAAAGUCUUGGGCUAAACUUUCUGUUGGAUGAUCCACAGGCGACCAUAGCCCACUGUGGAAGGAGAGUGCCUCAUACUCAAGUAAGGGGAAGGACAGCUCCCCUGACCCUUCAGCUCAGAUGUUGUGAAGUGGCCAUUCCAACUGCAGGUGACCUGCAGGUGCUGGCCUGUCUUCAGGUACAGAGAAGCUGUAUAUGUGGAGUACUUCAACGAAUGUGUUCAUUUUUGCCACUUUGAAAACCUAGACAAUAAAGAAUACGUAGAAUAUAGAAAGUUGUAGAGGACUCAAGAAAAGGGAAUCUUGUUUGGGUCAGAGCUGGCUAUCGCUUGAUGCUUUUAUUUCAAAGAUUAUCAAAAAGAGCUUUACUUAUCAAAUAUUAUAGUUAUGCAAAGCUACAAUUUAGUUUUCUCUCUCUCAAAAUGACAAAAUUUUUCUUAGAUUAUUGGUCAGGUCUUGGCAAGCAGUUAGUUACAAAAGUUUAUUCUUUCCUUUCUGUGUAAUCUGCCUAGAUGACAAAGAUUCUGUGUCUUACAGAAUCAUUUUCAUGAUUUAUGUUUAAUUUAUUUCCAUGAUUAUUUAAGAAAACAAUGCCUUCUCGCUUAGCAAAAAGUUAAGAUUCUUUCCAAUCAUGUUAGCUCCUAUGUUUACUUUUAAAACGUUUUUUGUUUCUUUGGUGGUUAAGUAUCCCAUGAUCCUGGAUAGCCAAGUACCACAUGAUCCUACUUUGAUCAAGCAUUCAAAUCUCCUCGACUUUUGAUAUUUUGCCUUCCCAAAAUCAAAGCCUAAAUGACAUCUUUGCACCUUGAAACUAUCUUUGAAAUUUCCUAGAGUGCCCUGGAAAAUCACAAAGGAUUUGUUCCUUCAUCUUGCAGAAAGAGGGGUACUAGAAAUAAUUAGGUUUAUUUGAAUGUUACUAUUGCUGAGUUGCAUGGGAAGAGCUGUCAAAUUGAAGAGAUGCUUAGCCUUCCCUAGGUUAAAUUUUUAUGGGUAAAAAGGUUAUGAAUAUAACUAUUUCAGCAAUUGUAUGCUAUAUGGGAAGUUCCCGAAGACUUGUCAAUGCCUUUGCUAUCUACAAUAUGUUUCCGUUUAUUAGAGUCCUAGUGCUGUUUUCCCAGUUGUUAGACAAUAACAGUGUUAUUAGUCAUAGUUUCAGUUAUUUUUAAAAUGUUAAUUUGUUCACAACUUUACUUCUUUAAUUUGAAUCUAGUAUCUUCUAAGCCAGUGGUUUUCGAUUGGAGAUUUGCAUCACUUCUCUGCAGUGUUAUAUUAACAUACAGAUGUUCACAACCUGCGCUAGGUUUACUAAAUCUCUUACUUGGUAUUCUUGAUAUAUUCUUGGUGCAUUCUUCCUAUGUUCUUAGUAUAUUCAUGGUAUAUUAUGUCAGAAUUAUUAUGUAUCACAAGAUUUUUCUCUGAAGUGAGUAUGUUAAUCCAUUUUUAUAAAUUAGAUGUAAUGUUCACUGUAUUCUUUGAAAAUAGUUCUAAUCAUUGUGUUUACAAAUAUUUUGUCUAAAACUUUUUUUGGAUUGAAUUUAUGAUCUCGUUUUGCAUGCCUCAGAAACAACCAAAUUUCCUUGUCUGUUGCAUUAUUCUUAUAAUGAACUGUCAUUAGUCCUUUUACUUUUGAAACUUAUCAGUAAUAAAUCAACCACAGCAAUUUUUAAGUAUCUUGUCAUCCACAGAUAGUUUUCUAUUUUACUCUUAUUCUUUCCUGAAAGCACCUGCAAUCAGCUACAGGCCGGAGUGCUUCAUCUUCAACAAAGGAGGAUCAUCUGUGAAAAAGAUUAUAGUGGGUACUUCAGGGAAUAGGCUUCUGAUGGCAUCGCUCAUAUCAUGGGAUGAGUCAGCAUUUCCCGAACUAUACCCCAGAAGCAGAUGGAUUCAGAAGACUUCUAAGCCAAGAUCAAGCAGACUAAGAACUAAUGACAUAAGACUGAAUGAAUUGAUAAGAGUUAAUUGUAGUUUUUGUCUGGAAUAUUGUUGCUGUUUUAAUUUUUUAUUUUCUGAAUAUAUAAGGAAGCCUUUUGCUUUCCUCUUGAGCAAUCCAUAAUUCAUAGUAAUUAAGUAGACUCUGCUUUUAUAAACUGAAAUGAAACAUUUGCAAUGAUAUUUUACUCUCCCUGAUUAACACCUCCAGACUUUGGACUCUGUUACUGAGCAUUCUUGUUUUCAUAGCAAUACACUUAUUUCUGUAGAAUUUGUCCUUUUUUAUAUCCGCUUCAAUAAGAAUCUGUCCUCCCAUAAUUGGAAACAUCGGUUAAACAACCAAAGUGUUAUUUGAGAAUAUCAUAUUUGAGAAUGAUGCUCAUUAAUCAAAUCUGACCAGACACAUUAAGGAACUAAGGUUGACUUUAUGAAGCCAAUGCUUGCAAAGCUGUCUUGGGACUGGCCUGAUAUCUGGUUUACAGUAUUUCAUCCUUACAGGUGAGUAAAGUAAGUCUUCUUGGCAGACCCAAGAACCCUAGGAUAUCUUGUGGACCUCCAGAAGAGAGGAUUUAUAGAUAAUAUAGGUAAAAUCUGAUAGCAAGUUCUUAGCUUGGCUUCCUACCCUCAAGAGGCUUUUAAAAGUCUAAUUUGAAAUUCCUUGUGAAAACUUCAAGCAAAGAAACAUAAGAAGGCCUCCAUAGUUAAUUACAAUUUUUCUUGCAACUUUGCAAAUAAUCAAGCCAAAUCUAAGGAGACCAGCCUUAUUUUAUGAUCAAGAAUAAUCUCUCUUUGAGAUUAUCAGAAAGUAUGGGAGUGGAAGAGUGACUUUUGUGAGAGGGGGAAAUCUUGUGUUUCUGGGAAUCUAUGCGUUGUCUAUAGCACAUCUUUCUGUCAAGAAAAGAUUCUUGACUUUUUCAUUGUCUUUGAGCUUUGCUGCACCUAGUUAUACAAUUUGUAAAUUUGACGUAACUGAUGGAUAUGCAAACUGUAUUGUCUAAUGUUUAUUUAAUUGACUUCCUCCUCUCUGUGGAAAAAUCAGUUUUAAGAUCUACCUGCAAAUUUUACUGGAACAUGUUACUUGCUCAAAUUGUCAAUCCUCACCAGGCUUUCUUUCCUUUCAGUUUUUUUCAGUAUCUGACUCCAACCCUCCAAACUAACUUUUCCAAUUUUUCUCCCUGUUGCCUGAUUUCAGCAUCACCAAAUAAAACCUAACUGCUCAGACCACUACCUAGACUCCAGGUUGCCUUGCACCUGGCCCUUGUCCUCUAGCAUCUGAAGAAAAUACUACUAACUUCAAAGGAUUCACUAUCACAACAGACCAUGCAUGCUCCAGGUGUCUCUUUGGACGAGCUCCUGUCUGAGCCACUAAGGAAAUCCUUGGAAAGGCUUGAGGCAUUCAAGCUUCUUAUAUGAGAGGUAACCAAGACUGCAAACAAAUUUACCAAGAACACAGCAUUGUAGCUAGAGAGCUUCAAGAAACUCAACAAGUGGUGCUGUAUAAUAGAAGGAUUUUCCUCCAAUGGUCUUGAAAUUCACUGGACUGGUUACUCUCAGGCUUCACUCUUGGCUCUUUAUUUUAAUAUAAUCUUUUAUAUUAAUAUAUUGUCUUCAUUUUAGGCAUCUCUCUCUUUAGGACCUAAUCUUCUAGGACCUAGGAGAUUUUAGGUUUUAGGGCCCUAAAACCACUGACCUUUGCCACCACCUCUCAACAGAUGGUUCAACUAGUUUUAUAGGAAAAACACCAAGAAGAAUCCUCAAGAGACAAUAUUUCCUAGACCCUGCUUUGCCCCAUUCAGAAAGUUUAUAAUCAGCUGUAAGUUUUUCACUGAGGGAAGAUAUUUAUCCUCUUGAACCAAAGGGAAGGCAAUGUGGAAAUUUAUCUGAGCCUUGUGCACCAGAAAGCAGAGAAGAUGGAGAAGGUUAAGAAAUCUCCCCACACAUUUGUAUUCCGAGAAACUGCUAACCAGCAAAAGAUCACCCUACUGUCCCAUUUUCUGAGAUAAGACUCACCUCCACCUUUCCUCAGUGACUCAGUGAAGACCCAUCUCCAUCCUACCUCAUGAUGCCUGUGAGAUUCUCCGAUGAUUCCUUUGUUUAAGCUUCUAUAAAACUCAAGGGACCUUUCCUUUUCUUUGAGAAGUUUUUCAUUGAUAAAUAAUAUCCCUAUGGCAAUAGCCUGAAUAAAAUCAUCAUCUAAUUGUCCAGGGCAUUUUGUCUUUCACACAUUGAAUGCACCAUUUCAAACCAAAUAGGAGUCCUAUGAUAGAGAACAGGAAGCCCUACUCAUUGAGUCAGAUAGUAUCCUAUGAUUAUAUGUCCUUCCCUAAAUAUAACCUUUUCUUUUCCAUGGAGUUAAUUUUUAUUUAUUCUCUUACUUGACUUUCUUCAAAUCUCUGGCUUAGUGUGCCCACAGUCUCCAACAACUCUUUAAAAUACUUUUCUAUCCAAAUUUCCAUGUUAUUCUUUUCUUGGAGACUUCUCUCACAAAGCUCUCUAUCUUCCAUCUCCAGUCUAUACUGAUCUACACCUCUUGACGUGCUGCAGAGCUAUCAUUGUGGGACUUCCCUCUGCCAUCUUUAUAGGAAUUAUUUACAUCUCUUUCUAAAUUGGAUCUCAUUUCCCUUUUUCUUACUUUAUUCCCUAUUGUCUUGGAGCACAUCCCAUAGAAUCUUCCUGAGAAGGGGUACAUGGGAGACACAUUUUUUGAGACAAUGCCUAUCUGGUAAUGUCUGUAUUCAACUCUCACUCUUGGUUAAUGUGAGAUGAUACAAAAUCUAUAGCAGUCUCUGGCCCCAGUUCCUGGCACAGAGCUCCUAAAACCCCUGUAAUUUUCUAGGUGAUAAGACACUAGGAGCAUCUCUUGUUCUAAUAUUUGGUCUUUGACCUCAUCCCUGAUGCAAGCCUCCUAAAACCCUUGUAAAUUCCUAAGUAAUAAGAGCACUAGGAGCAUCUUUUGUUCUAUCAAGGUGACUCAGGGUGGGCUCCUGGAUGGUUGCUGGAUGGGGGCUGGUCACCAGAAAGACCCAAGUAAUAAUGAUUAGAAGCUUGACAUUUUCAGCCCCACCCCCAGCUUCUGUAGAGAGUGGUGAGGGGCUGAAAAUGGAGUCAAUAAUUGAUCACGCCUACGUGAUGAAGCCUCCAUAAAAAUCCCAAAAGUGCAGGGUUCUGAGAG